UAAAUUGCUGAAAUUGUUUAAUAAAUGUUUAAAAUUAGGGUGAUAUUUGCUAAUGUCUUCUUAUAUAUAUUUUGCCAAUAUUAAUUUAAUUUAGAAGGACUUUGGUUUCUUGCGUUUUGUGCGUUUAACCCCUGCGUUUUUAUUUUACAAUGGUGGUUUUCCUUUCAAUUCAAAUUUUGUAAAUUACUUUUGUAAAAGUUGUUUUAUUUUAUUUUUUGCUAGUAAAAUUUCUUCGGGUAUUUAUUAAUUAUAUUCGGUUAGUUAAUUAAAUCGUUCAACUAAAUAAUAAAUGAAAGUAUUGUUAAUUUAUAUAUAUUUAAUUCCUUCCACGUUCCAAUUUUUACUUUCGAGAAAUUUUAACCUUGAUAUAAUUUUAAAAUCGUUUAGGUCCCUAAGUUUUUAUAAUUCCAAAUAUAAAAUUAGAAAAAUAUUAUGUAAUUUGUGAAAUUAGUUUAGUUAAAGUUAAAAUCAAUUAAUAUAUUUAGUUUUCUACACUAUAUAAAAUUUGCUAGGAUUUUAUAUAUUUUAAUUCAAAUCUGGCGUUCUUUUUUAAAUUCCAUAUUAAGAAUAUAUAAUUUUAACCCAUUAUUUUGUUAAAACUUUAUAAAUUUGGUUUGUUUUUUUAUUUUUUUACUUAGGUAUAUUCCUCUUGCAGAUUCUUUUAUUUAAACAAAAGUUCUAAACUUAUCUUAUAUAGCUAGUAUAACGUUUACCCCUGUUUUUAAUAAAACGUUUUCGGGUUACAAAUUAAAAUUUCUAUUUUUUCUUAUAAAUCCCGUUAUAAAACAUAUGUUUGUUAUUUUUUGGGUGCGUUACUACACGCGUGUUAAAUUAUAGGUAAGAAUAAUACCCUAAUAUUAUAUUACUUUUGGCGUAAUAAUUAAAAUAUUAUUUAGUAAUUUGGCUGAAUAUUUUAAUUUGCCCGUUUAUUUGCGGAUGGAAAUUUGUAAAUAAAUAUUUUUCAAUAUCGAUUUGUAAUAUAACUUUUUCUAACAUUUGAUUGUAAAUAAUCUAUUCUUAUUUAUAAUAAUAUUUAAGACAAACCCAUAAUAAUAUUUUAUUAUUUUGGUAAAAUGUUAAUUAAGUUGGAAAAUAUUUAUAUUAUUUUUAAUGGGUAAAAAUCGCGUUAUUUUGGUUAAUUUAUUUACGAUAAUUAUAAUAGCGUUUACAAUGGUAAAAUUGUAUUUUAUAUUGGGUAAUUUGACAAUAAAAUUAAAUGUAUUUCGCUGCAGGUUUUAUUAAAUAUGGGUAAUAAUUAUAACGUACUAUAUAAUUUUAAUAGCAAUAUUCACUUGCUGUUACCAUUAUAUUAACAUGGUACAAUUUAAAGUACUAAGAAAGUUUAGUUUUUUAUUUGUUUCCAAUAUUUCUUUUUUGAUUAAUUUUAAAAUUUGGGCGAUUUCCCCAAAUUUGAUUUUUAAAUUAUUAUAAUAAAGUUCCAAAACUUUCUUUCCUAUAUUAUUAUAUAUUAGUGUGUAAAAUUUCCAUUUGUAACAAAACAUAUUGCUUGGAUUUCUAAACCAAUAUUUCUUUUGCGUAAUUGUUUUAAUUUAUUGCUACUUUUAUUACAAAUUUUUAAUUAAAAUCUUUAUGGGAUUUUAAUAUGUUCAAUACAAGGUUUUUGCUUUCAUUCCAUUUUCUAUAUAUAUAUAUACGGGUAAUUAUAUAUAUUCGCGAAUAUAAGCAGUUUUAUUAAAAUAAAUAAUUAAUUUAAAUUAUUAAAUUCUUUCCAACAGGCAAAAAUUAGUUAAUUUCCUUUUUAUUUUACCUAUAAAUUAGUACGUUUUCUUAUAAUGGGGGUAAAAGGGUAUUUAUAACAGUAAAUAUUAUAUAAUUAAAUCGUUUCGAUAAUUUGUUAGCAAAGUUUUAUUUCUUUAUACGGUAAAAAGUUUCAAAAUUGAAAAAAGGAUACAUUAUCCAACGCGUUUCUAUUUUAUUCAAUCUGGGUAUUUUUGUAAGACCAUAUAAGUUCCAGCAAUUUCAAGCCACAAUUAUUAAUAAUACGUUAUAAUUUGAAUAAUAUUUGUAAUUUUCAAAAUUUCUAAUUAUAACUCCCAUUUUCUCAUCUGGGAUCCCUUAAUAUUUUAAAUUAGAAAAUAAUAAUAUACAAACUAUUUUUGAAACGUUGGGACAAAAUUACCCACUAUACGUCCACCGAACUCUAAGUUUUAAAAUAUAUAAAAAGUAAAAAUUUAUAAUAACGCAUUAAAUUCGUUUAAAAAAACGCUAUUUUUAAUUGUUUUAAAAACUACCAAAAUAAUAUUCCGUUUUAAAAGUUUAAUACUUCCGGGCUUCUAAUUUUCCUAUAUAUUUUCAAACAAAAUUAAUAAAAAGCGGGCAAUAGACAAAUAGCAAAAAACAAAACAAUAACAAAAAGAGUAAAAUCCUAAAGAGGCUUGAAUAUUAUAAUAAGGUUUGGGUGCAAAUUAUUUUUAAUAACAAUUGUUUUGCGUGGAUUAAUAAACACUCUUUAAAUACUUAUUACAAAAUCCAGAAAUCUAAUUUUUUAUAUAUAAAAUUUACAUUUAAUUAAUUUAAUAAAAAUUUGUUCUUUCUAGGUCUCCCAAAAUCUCCCGCAAACUUCUUCUGUAAGAUUUCUAUUAAAGGAAUAAAUUAAUAUAUUAGUGUAAUAUAUAAUAUAAUAACGGUUUACGAAAUGUUUUUAAAGAUUUUAUAUAUAAUUUUGGAAAGUUGCUGGGGUAUUACUAAGUUCAAAAGAUAUAAUAAUAUAUUGAAAAAGAUUAUAAUAAUUUUGAAAAGCAAUUUUCUAUUUAUCCUUUAUUUUAAUACGGACUUUAUUAUAUAUAUUUUUGAAAUUCGAUUUGGUAAACCAGUUUGAAUUUUGUACCCGAUUUGUUUAACUUUAUAAACAAGGAUAAAAUAUACCUGCCUUUUUAAUAACCAACCUAAAUUUUAAUAUUUUACGCCAAAACGCAUAAUUCUACUAUUUUUAAAAAUAAAAGAAUAACUGUUUGCAAAAUUUAUAAAUUUAAAAAUACGUUUCAAGUUUAGGUUAUUGCUAAUAUAUGUUUCUAAGUCGGUUAAUCCUUUACAUAGCAAAGAUUAAAUUAAUAAAUAUGGGAUAAUAUUCCUUUUAGUUUAAUUAAUAACAUAGCCCGAGUUAAUACUAACAAGUAUAUUUUCAAUUGUUUUUUCUUUUACAAAAGUACUUUUGUUAUUUUAGCACUUUUGAAAUAUGAUUAUAUUUGUUUGGGAAACAGGUUUUUAUUUUUCCUAAAUAAAAUAAAAAAGAAAUAAUUCGCCAAAAUAAUAAUAAUAUAAGUCCGUAUAUAUUUUUAAUUCAAUUAGAAAGUGUUUUUGGCUUUAUUAUAUAUUUAAAUCAUUUUCAUUUUUUCAGAUUAUUAUUAAUGCGUAAAACUAUUAAUAAUAAUAUUUAUAUUUAUUACAACCGGUUUUCCCCGAUUAAAAGGAGGGUUUUUUCUAAUUUUUAUAUAAAUAUAUAUAAAUAUUCCAUUUUUUAAAAAAUAUCUCGAGGAUUAUUAACUUAUAACCGUACAUAAUAAGCUUCUUUGGCUACAGUUUUAGCUUAUAUUAUAUUAAUAUUAGUUAGCGUUCUGUAUAUUUGCAAAAACAAUUGAUAUUAUACUAUAAAAAUCCUGUUAAUUAAAUUAAUUUUACACUCGUAUUUCUCACUAUAUUUACCGUAGCUCCAAAUAAAUUUAAGGAAAGAACCGAAAUUCAAAAUAUGGGACGUUGGAGUAAAAUAAAGUAGUGAAAUUUACUAAUAAAUAUAAUGACAGGUUUUCGAAAAAUUCUUUUCGUAUUUUUUUGUUCUCAAUUAUUUGGAUUUCGAUAUUAUUUUCUCAGUUAAAAUUGAACCAAAGUUUUGGUUUAUUAUUUACCUAAUCCCGAAACCUUUUUGAAUAAUAAUUAGGGAAAUGCGUAUUAUUAUCGCAAGUAUAAAACCAAAACAAUUUUCUAAUAACUUUCUCUUUCUAAUUUUUCUAAUAGCUAAAGUUUCUAAAUCCCCCGGAUUUGCGUUUUCUUUUUUUAUUAAAUUAGUCUUCCGUCCGUUUUUUUCCAGCAUUUCUAUUAAUUAUUGGUUUUAUUUUUGCUUUUCCGUUGAAAAAGCUAUUUUGGAUAAUUGUUACGGAUGUGUACUAAUUAUACGUCCUUUUAUACACAAAUAACAGCGGGGAGUAUAUGAUAAUUUACGUUAUAUAUAAAGGAGGAAAAAUUGCCAAAGUCUUUCCGUACCCCUUUUCUUUUUUAUUUUAAUAAUAAUAAUACCUCUUUUCAAGCAUUUAACCGCUAUAUAACCGUCUAUAUAUUUUAUAAUAUUUAUUAUCGUUUAUUCCUUUUUAUAUAAGUACGAAAUUAUUAUUUAUAAAGGAAACCGCCGUCCAAAUACCAGAAAUCGCGUUUUAAAAUAUAUAACGGAUAAUUGCGGAUUUAUAAAAAAGGGUGGAAACGUUAUAAACAGGAAGAUUAAUAAUAUUAAUUAUCGCGGAAAGGUUAUAAAUAACGGUAUCGUCAAAACGCAGACCGUUCCGAAAUCCGCCACUAUACGGCGGCGUUCCGGUUUUCUUCAUAAUUUAACGGCGCGUUAUAAAAUAUAAAUUACGCCGUAACGCAAAUUUGAAAAACAAUUACCGCAAUUAAUAUAAACAUUUGUAAACGGAACUUAAAAUCCCGUUUAAAAAAAUAUCCGUUUUUGUAAUAAAAUAAAAGGGAAUAUAACGCGUAUUAUUAUACGGAUUUUUGAAAUUAUUUAAAAUAUAUAUAUAAUAAUCCCUAUAAACGGGCCCAAAUUUAAACGUUAAAAAUAAAGCCAAACUAAUCAAUCGCCCAAUUAAUUGUGGUUUUCAAAGAAAAAACUUGAACACGUUUGGAAAAUUGGUUUGGUUCGACGAAAUUUAUUCUAACCUUUUACAUUUCCGCGUAUUUUCCAAAAUCCGAAGAAUAUAUAUUAAAUAAAAUGUUAAAACCAGUUUAUAUUCGAGAACGGUAAUUACUUACCACCAAAGUAUUUAAAAUUUAAAAAUAAUUAAGGUUAAUAAAUGUUUUAAAUUUUACGGUUUAAUUACCGCCCCGAUUUUUAACUUACUAAAACACGAUAAUAUAUUUAUAAUAAACGUAACCGCGAUAAAAUUUAAAUCCAACGGAAAAACAAAAAAAAGCCGUAAAUUUAAACAAAUCCAAUUUGCCAACGUUAUUUAAACAAAUACGCGUUCGCGCGUUUUAUAAAUUUCAAAUAAUUAAUAUUAGCAGAAAUAUAAAAUAAAAAUAUUUUUGCGUUAAAAUAAUUUAAAUUACCAAGUAGCGGAGUAUACUUAUACGGCGGCGUUAUAUUUAUUUAUAAUAAUAACCGUAACUACGACGGAAAUGUCCAAACAAAACGAAUAAUUCUCGAUAUAAAAUUUAAUCGAAAACGGGGGCCGCAAAGCGCAAUUAAAAUAAAAACGGGUAAAAGUUUAAAAAUGAAAAUGGCAAAAUCGGGUCAGUUUGAUAUCUUCUGAACAAUAUACCGUAUUCAUUUUUUAUUUUAUCAAAUACUUUAUAAUUUACUAAUAUAUAAAUAGAUUUACAUUAUAAAUAUUACGCGCUAUUAAAUAAUAAAUAUAUUACCUAAUUUAAAAUGAAGAAGAUAUUUUUA
rnacentral:sRNA from 1 species